UGUUAAGAAUUUCAUCCAUUCUUACUGUUAAAAGCCGUUGUGAUUGAUGGAGUAAUUAGACAGCUAUACGUGGCAUGCUAUGUAUAUCUUAUGUUGACAUACAUGGGCUAGUUUUUAAGAGUAAAAAUGGAUGAAAUUUUUAAUA
rfam:Gossypium arboreum cultivar AKA8401 contig_17068_3, whole genome shotgun sequence.